CUUCGAUGGAACUACGUGACCAGCGCCUCCAAUAGUUGGCCGCAUUCCAGGAAUUGGACCAGGCUAAAAGAAUUAUACAUGAACUAAUCGAUCGACUUCUUUGUUAGUGGUCGAAUAAGAUUGCUGUCGUGUAAUAAAAGCCAAGCGAAUCAAUGGGCUAGUUCAGCCGUGCACAACUGUUUAGUAAUGCCUCGGGAAUACCAUUGAGCAUCCAUCGCAGCGAAGAAAUAUUAUGAUGGUUCUAUCCAGCACAAAUAUAUCAUGCCCUGGACUCAGCACUGAUGCCUCAUUUUCUUGCACACAAUAUAAGAAAUGCAUUAAACAAUUUCGAAAUCCAAAACUAAAAAAGAAAAAUGUUUCGGAUAAAAUUUCAAAAGAAAUGAAACUUAGAGGAUAUAAUGUGGAAGGUGAACUACUUGAUAGGAAAAUAAGAAAUAUGGAACACACAUACAAAAAUAUUAUUGAGAAUAACAAAAAAAAACAACUACUGGGAGAGGUCAAAUUGAUUGGGAAUAUUUUAAUAUAUUAAAAGAUAUAGAAUAAUAAAUCCAACAAACUGUAUGUCUUCAAUUAAAGAAAAACAAUUAAAGAAAAUGAAAUUGCUCUACUUAUUGAAGAACCAGAAAAUGAAUCUACCCAAAUGGAAACUUUUUUGGAUAUUUUUUUGUCAUAUAGACAUUUUUGAUUGUAGGUGGUGUAAAGUUGGAGAAAUAGGCUACUUGCAAUAAUUGUACUUAGUUUUUUUACUUUGGUAAAGAAAUGAAAUGCACUAUCGAAAUAAUUUUAGCUUUAAUGUGAAAUAUUUUAACUUUAACAAUAAUUAACUCAUAGUACAUUUGCUAAGUAGUCUCUUUUCAUAUGUCCUUGAAUUUGAUAUAAUUAUUUUCGUUUUCAUUAAAAUUCUUAUUCAGUUCUUCAUUGUCUAUAUACAUUCCAUUUCUGCAAGGGGACAGUUUUCAUAAGUUAUAUCAGAUUAUGCAGCACACAUGCUGCAGUUAAAACUGACGGAAUUUUGUCAUCCGUGCUUAUAUCUAAAUAUUUCGAGCUUUCAAAUUAUUCUUUUAAUAAUCCAAAGCUUUGUUCAAUUAAAACACGCAUAGAAUUAAGCUAUGUAUUAAAUCGUACUUUUUGAUGUGUCUGAUGUCCAUUAUCUCCAUAUGGU